rnacentral:lncRNA from 1 species
CUCAUUUCCAAGGCAAACCAUUCAAUAUCACAGUAAUCCAAGUCUAUGCCCCAACCAGUAACGCUGAAGAAGCUGAUGUUGAACGGUUCUAUGAAGACCUAUAAGACUUUUUAGAACUAACACCCAAAAAAGAUGUCCUUUUCAUUAUAGGGGACUAGAAUGCAAAAGUAGGAAGUCAAGAAACACCUGGAGUAACAGGCAAAUUUGGCCUUGGAGUAUGGAAUGAAGCAGGACAAAGGCUAAUAGAGUUUGCCAAGAGAACGCAGUGGUCAUAGCAAACACCCUCUUCCAACAACACAAGAGAAGACUCUACAUAUGGACAUCACCAGACGGUCAACACCGAAAUCAGAUUGAUUAUAUUCUUUGCAGCCAAAGAUGGAGAAGCUCUAUAGAGUCAGCAAAAACAAGACAGGAGAUGACUGUGGCUCAGAUCAGGAACUCCUUAUUGCCAAAUUCAGACUUACAUUGAAGAAAGUAGGGAAAACAACUAGACCAUUCAGGUAUGACCUAAAUCAAAUCCCUUAUGAUUAUACAGUGGAAAUGAGAAAUAGAUUUAAGGGACUAGACCUGAUAGAUAGAGUGCCUGAUGAACUAUGGAUGGAGGUUCAUGACAUUGUACAGGAGACAGGGAUCAAGACCAUCCCCAUGGAAAAGAAAUGCAAAAAAGCAAAAUGGCUGUCUGAGGAGGCUUUACAAAUAUCUGUGAAAAGAAGAGAAGUGAAAAGCAAAGGAGAAAAGGAAAGAUAUUCCCAUUUGAAUGCAGAGUUCCAAAGAAUAGCAAGGAGAAAUAAGAAAGCCUUCCUCAGUGAUCAGUGCAAAGAAAUAGAGGAAAACAACAGAAUGGGAAAGACUAGAGAUCUCUUAAAAAAAAUUAGAGAUACCAAGGGAAAAUUUCAUGCAAAGAUGGGCUCGAUAAAGGACAGAAAUGGUAUGGACCUAACAGAAGCAGAAGAUAUUAAGAAGAGGAGGCAAGAAUACACAGAAGAACUGUACAAAAAAGAUCUUCAUGACCCAGAUAAUCACGAUGGUGUGAUCACUGACCUAGAGCUAGACAUCCUGGAAUGUGAAGUCAAGUGGGCCUUAGAAAGCAUCACUAUGAACAAAGCUAGUGGAGGUGAUGGAAUUCCAGUUGAGCUAUUUCAAAUCCUGACAGAUGAUGCUGUGAAAGUGCUGCACUCAAUAUGCCAGCAAAUUUGGAAAACUCAGCAGUGGCCACAGGACUGGAAAAGGUCAGAUUUCAUUCUAAUCCCAAAGAAGAAGAAGUCGCUCAGUUGUGUGACCCCAUGGACUGUAGCCCACCAGGCUCCUCAGUCCAUGGGAUUUUCCAGGCAUGAAUACUGGAGGGGGUUGCCAUUUCCUUCUCCAGGGGAUCUUCCCGACCCAGGGAUCAAACCCAAGUCUCCCGCAUUGUAGGCAGACGUUUCACCGUCCAAGGUACCAGGGAAGCCCACAUCCCAAAGAAAGGCACUGCCAAA